ensembl:lncRNA
AAAGAAUGACACUGAUGAGAACACUGAGGACAUCCAUGACAGGAAAAACAGUGACGACAAUGAGAAACCUGUCAACAAGGAGAUCAGUGAACAUGAGGACAGUGAAAAGAAUGACACUGAUGAGAACACUGAGGACAUCCAGGACAGGAAAAACAGUGAAGACAAUGAGAAACCUGUCAACAAGGAGAUCAGUGAACAUGAGGACAGCAAGGAUAGUGACAAUGAUGAAGACACUGAGGUCAGUGAGAGGGAGCAGAGGAAGACAAAGAAAAAGAAGAAGAGGAACUGCUUCCAACGCGUCUUCUCUUGGAUGAAGAAGACGUUCUGCUGCUGCUGCUGUGUGUCCGAUGUGAUGGACUGAGCAGCACUAAUGGACUGGAUUCACAUUUCGGACUCACAGUUCCUGACCUCAGUAACCUUCGCUGGGUUUAUUGUUCUCUUGUGUUUUGAUCUGUUUUCUGUCUACUAUCCUGUUCUUUCUCUCCUUUACCUUCAGCCCAACCGGUCGAGGCAGAUGGCUGCCCUCUCAGAGCCUGGUUCUGCCGGAGGGUUCUUCCUGUUAAAAGGGAGUUUUUCCUCCCCGCUGUCGCCAAGUGCUUGCUCUAAGGGGAAUCCAAAGGAUUUGUUGGGAUUCUGUCUUUAAUUAUUACCGUAUUAAUCGUCACCUUAUCAUGUAAAGUGACUUGAGACAUCUGUUACGAACUGACAGUAUGGAAAUUAGGACAGUAGUGUUAAAUAUUAUGUACUUAAAUAGUACAAAAUAAGUACAAAAUAGAUUACAAUGUUAAUUACAUAUAGAAUAAUAUUUUAUAUUAAAAUAUGCAAGUAUGUUAUUUGUAAAUAUAAUAUACAUCAGACAGACUGACUGCCAGUAAGCAAAGGCUUACUCCAAAUAACAUAACUUACUUGCUAACAUAGAAUUCAAUUUAAUUCAAAAAACUAAAAUGACUUAAUAAUGAUGAUAGUAAUAAUAAUAAUAGUAAUAAAUUUUAUUUAUAAUGCAUUUUUCAUUAGUGCUGAAUUAAAGAUAUAAAAGUAUUAAAAAAACAAUAAUAAAAAUAAAAAUAAUUUUAAAAAACUUAAAUUUAAAACACCUAAACCAAUUGGAUCAAAAAAUAAAUAAUUCAAAAGGAAAUGACACGUGCUUGUCUUUAAUAUACUGCGAAAGUAUUAUUAGAAAAACAGUUCAUCUGAAGUCAGCUUUUUAAAAUUUGGACUACAUGACAGAUAUGACUAAUUUAUUUUCUGAUUUCUACCAAAUAUUCUAGCAGGUGAUUCGUCAUGAUGAAGAGAUGUCAGAUUGUAUGUAACGGUGUUGGUUGCUUCUGUUAGCAAGUCAACACAUUGAAGCAUUUCUGAAGAGCAUUGAACAUAUAUAUUCCUGUUAAAGUGGAGGAAGAUGAAAAUGACAGACUAGUUGACACCACUGUGAAGCCACCAAUGGAUGUAUACCAAGACAAUGUGGAGUCCAUGCAAUGGUAACUUUAAUUUGCUGCUUGAUGUUAUGGUUUUUCGUUUGUUUUUUCUUUUUCUUUUUGCAGGAAAAGCAACCCAAAAGGCUUUUUGCACACAUUGCAAAGGGAAGAAAUAUGAGGAAGACAAUGGAAUUGGAAGCAGCUGAGGAUUAUCCAAAGCUAUGUGUCUGUGACAGAUGUGAACUACAAAGACAUUUAUAGUUCUCAAUUCCCAAUAAUGGAUUCGAUUCAUGUUCUGGACCAGCAGUUCCUCACCUCACCAACCUUCUCAGUAUUUGUUCUGUCUGUAAUUUCAUCUUCACCUUAUCAUGUAAAGUGUCUUGAGAUGACAUCUGUAAGUUUACAGAUUAGGAUAAUAAUGUUAGCUAUUAUGUACUUGUACAAAGACAGUAAGUACAAAAUAGAUUCAAAUAUAAAUAUGUAAGUAUAUUAUUUGUAAAUGCAGUAUAUGAUAUAUAUAUAAUACACAGUAUGUAUAU